GAUGAACGCUGGCGGCGUGCCUAACACAUGCAAGUCGAACGGAGCAUAGAGGAAAGCGGCUUCGGCCAAUGGAAUCUAUCGCUUAGUGGCGAACGGGUGAGUAACGCGUGAGAAACCUGCCUUUCAGUGGGGGACAACAGUUGGAAACGACUGCUAAUACCGCAUAAUGUUAUUUGGGGGCAUCCCUGAAUAACCAAAGAUUUAUUGCUGAAAGAUGGUCUCGCGUCUGAUUAGCUAGUUGGUGAGGUAACGGCUCACCAAGGCGACGAUCAGUAGCCGGUCUGAGAGGAUGAACGGCCACAUUGGAACUGAGAAACGGUCCAGACUCCUACGGGAGGCAGCAGUGGGGAAUAUUGGGCAAUGGGCGAAAGCCUGACCCAGCGACGCCGCGUGAGGGAAGACGG
rnacentral:rRNA from 1 species